CUCAGUCAUUAGUUCACUGUCCUUCCUUAAUUAAAAUACUGGCUACACCCUAUGCACCAGGCCCUGUGCUGAGUCCCCAGAUACAGUCCCUGCUCUCCAGGAAGGGACAGUAGUCAGGACAGAAAUAGGAAAGAUUAGCAAUCAAGAAUACACAGUGAUCAAAGCCAAAGACAACACUGAUGGUGUCAGGUAGCAUUGGUUGUGGAUUUGGGGGAGAAUAGGGUUGUGUGUUAGGUGGGGAGUGUGGGGCGGGGGAAAAGCAUUCCUCGUGGAUUAGCCCACCCCAAAGGUCUUUUCUCAGAACCUUUCGCCCUUGGCUACUCUCCUAUACUGAAGUCAGCGAGCCUGUGCCUCCCUUGUCCAGAGUCACAGGCUGGAACACCAAGGUGGGGGAGGUGUGAUGACUGUGAGGACACCCUGUCCCUAACCUUUGCUUUCAAACUCUUAAUUCCCAUACUCUGUAUUCCCGUAUAAAGCAAAGUUGUUAUGUCCACAUCACAGACAGUGUAACAGGCUCAAUGAGUGGAAGAAAUGCCCAAACCUAUCUCCCAGGUUCUGAGGGCCAUCUCCUUCUGAAGCUGUUGAUAAAACAGGGUGCUUCUAAGAGAGCCUCUGCCUUUAGCUUCUCAGGUGUCCUCAAACCCUCCACCUUCAGGAAGCUGUGUCCAGACCUGCUCUGCACUGUGUUAUUUAUUUGUUCACCCCAAACUCUGAUGGGGGAAAGGUCCAUUAGCUGGGUGGCCUUCACUCUGUGAGCCUGGGGUACUUAUAGAGGUCACUAUUGCUAUAAAAGGAAUUGAGGAAUUUCACUCAGAUAAAACGCGGCGGCAGGGUGGGAGGCUGUUGUUCACUGGCCUUUUAAAGGCCACUUUCAGAGCCUCCAGCAAGUGGCUGUGUUGCGGUCACAGAUGCUCAUCUGCAACCACAGAGCCCCCUACUGUUCCGGUGUAGUGCAGGAGGUGCCCACAUGGGAUUUGUGGGUUGGACAACCUCUCCGUCCCUGUGAAGUUGUGCCUUGGAAAAUGUUGCCCCCUUCAUGAUGACAUAGAAACAAACCACACAGAAAAGAACUGGGAUCAAAGAAUUUCUCGGAGAUCCAGAGUUCCAAAUUAGUGUGUUAAACAACUGAACUUAAAAUAUGGACGUGUAGACAGAUAUUCAUGCCACACCAAAGAAAACAGCUUGCACAUACAGAGCCUCAGAAAGUGGAGACUGUUGCCUCAGGCACUCAUCUGCUAAAAAAGUGGGGACUGCUGCCCAGGUCAGAAUGGCUUCAAACUGUAUGCCUCGAACGUGAGAAAAGACAGCUCUACUGGGGGCCAGGGCACUGGAGCUUACAGGAAUGAGUGGCAGGUCAGAAGUAUCUCUACUGGACCCAGGAGACGGCACAGUGGGAUACCAUCAGGCUUUGGCCACAGUCUCCAAUUCAGCUACUCUUGAACACAGUCACCUGCCCCACCCAGCACACAGCCACCUGCCCCACCUAGCACAG
rnacentral:lncRNA from 1 species